rnacentral:rRNA from 1 species
CAAUAGCGUAUAUUAAAGUUGUUGCAGUUAAAAAGCUCGUAGUUGGAUUUCUGGGAGGGUGCCGCCGUCCGGCGUGUCCGUGUGCAGUGGCGCCCUUCCAUCCUUCUGUUAGCGUCUCUUGGCAUUCAUUUGCUGGUGGCGGGCUCAGAUAUUUUACCUUGAGAAAAUUAGAGUGUUUCAGGCAGGCUAGGCCGGAAUACAUUAGCAUGGAAUAAUGGAAUAGGACUACGGUCUCUUUGUUGGUUUGAGGGACUGCAGUAAUGAUUAAUAGGGAUAGUUGGGGGCAUUAGUAUUUAAUUGUCAGAGGUGGAAUUCUCAGAUUUGUUAAAGACUAACUUAUGCGAAAGCAUUUGCCAAGGAUGUUUNCAUUGA